rnacentral:rRNA from 1 species
ACGAACGCUGGCGGCGUGCUUAACACAUGCAAGUCGAACGGAAAGGCCCUGCUUUUGUGGGGUGCUCGAGUGGCGAACGGGUGAGUAACACGUGAGUAACCUGCCCUUGACUUUGGGAUAACUUCAGGAAACUGGGGCUAAUACCGGAUAGGAGCUCCUGCUGCAUGGUGGGGGUUGGAAAGUUUCGGCGGUUGGGGAUGGACUCGCGGCUUAUCAGCUUGUUGGUGGGGUAGUGGCUUACCAAGGCUUUGACGGGUAGCCGGCCUGAGAGGGUGACCGGCAACCUUGGGACUGGGCUGCGGCCCAGAAUCCUCCGGGCGGCAGCAGUGGGGAAUAUUGCACAAUGGGCGGAAGCCUGAUGCAGAACCGCCGCGUGCGGGAUGACGGCAUUCGGGUUGUAAACCGCUUUCGCCUGUGACGAAGCGUGAGUGACGGUAAUGGGUAAAGAAGCACCGGCUAACUACGUG